CUCUGUUUGUGUGUCAUUUUAUGAUUUGUGAUUGAUUAGUUUUUAAUGAAUGGUUCAUUAAUGAGUAGUAAUGAUAGUAGUAACAUUCGUAAGUAGUUACUUAUAAUAAUAACUACCCACCCACACACAGAAAUUCCUGUACUGUCUGUAUCAAUGACUCUAAGAUCAAGACAAAUCUCUUUGAAGUUUUACCAGCAUUCAUGCAGUAAUCACAAGUUACAAAUGAGCAUGUACAUACAUGUAGUGUAUUUGUGAAACAGUAUAAUAACGAUUCUCUAUUACAGUUAUGUAUAAUUGGCAUUGAUAGCUUUAAAGAUUAUGACAUUAUCUUGUACUGCAUGGAUCAUGCAUGUACAUGUACAUCUUAAGGCAGCAUUGUACAUUAGAUUCAAAUUUAUGAAUGCUUGUAGCUUAAAUAUUUGUGCUUGGAAUUGGCUCAAUCUUUUUGCACAGCACAAGGAUGCAUGUACAUGUACAUGUAUUAGGAUUUUGGAAUGUACAUGUAGUUAUAAUAAGUAAUUUCUCUCUCCAUUCCUUCAUAGAGCGAUGAUGAUUUAUAUAUGGCUGAAUGUAUACAGAGCAGUUUGAGAUAUGAUAUACAACAAGAAAGACAAAGGAAGCAACCGUCACUGAGAAAAAGCACUAGCAAUUGGAGUUGUCCCAGUUGUCAAUGGUCCAAUAAUCCAUUAGUCACUACUUGUGAUAAAUGCUCCUAUAUACUUCCAUGAAUAUCCUCUUUCUCUUUUAUAAUUCUUUUCACUUUAUAUUGGUUUUUGAUCUUAUUGUUACUUGUAUUAUUAUUGUUGUUCAUUCUGAUGUUAAUUGUUGAAUAACACACAUGCAGUGUAUCUUCAUGUACACGUACAGUACAUAAAGUGUGUGUUGGUAUGUUAGUUCUGUAUGGUAUAUAAUAAUUAUACUGUCUUUGUGGGACUUCAUAUUAUUAGUGUAGUUUAUUUAAUCCUUUGUCAUUUCAGGAGUUUAUGAUGGUCGUUUGUAUAGUUUAA